CCCUCAGCACGUGACCAAUUGUUGUGUUUCCUUCCUGGGGCUCCGUCGUAGCUGGCACCCGCCAACGGCUGAACAAAAGUGCCCCCUUCAGGAGCUCUUCGUGUCGUCGGCUGAGUGCUCAGAUCCCCUCAGGCCAGACAAGAGCGAAGACUUCCCUAAUUGGGGCCGAGGUUGUGGCUGCCUGCAAUGCCGUCAUCCCAGAGGGGCACCAGUUACAGUCCUGGCUGCUCCACUUCCCAUCCAGCUCCCCACGAAUGGCCUGGGUGCUUGGGACCCUGCACCCAGGGAAGAUCCAGGUCAUAGGGGUCAUUGGUAGCUUCGGGAUCCGCAUGGAAGGAAGGCCUAUACUUCCGGGAAUGGAGACGUCCCUACCUGUACUUGCUGGGAAGAAAAGUCCUUGUCAAGGUCCCUGCGGGUGCCUAAAGGUCAACCAAUGAGGAUCAGACCCGCCUCAACCUUUAACCCCCAUGCCCUGAAUCUAUAAAAGGAGCCCUCCCAAUCUCUGACGUGCAACUUCCCCGGCCCCCACCCUGCUGCUCUGUUGGGACCGGGGAACCUCGCCCGGGAGCAGAACCCCAAUAAA